rnacentral:rRNA from 1 species
AGAGUUGAUCAGUGGCUCAGGACGAACGCUGGCGGCGUGCCUAACACAUGCAAGUCGAGCGGAGUCGGUAAGAGGAAGUUUCGGAUGGAAUCUUAUUGAUUAGCGGCGGACGGGUGAGUAACGCGUGAGCGACCAACCUUGCACAGGGGGAUAACGGACCGAAAGGUUCACUAAUACCGCAUGAGACCACGGUGUUGCAUGACACAGAGGUCAAAGGAGCAAUCCGGUGCAAGACGGGCUCGCGUCCGAUUAGGUAGUUGGAGGGGUAACGGCCCACCAAGCCUAUGAUCGGUAGCCGACCUGAGAGGGUGAUCGGCCACAUUGGAACUGAGAUACGGUCCAAACUCCUACGGGAGGCAGCAGUGGGGAAUAUUGGGCAAUGGGGGGAAAAACCCCCUGACCCAGCAACGCCGCGUGAAGGAAGAAGGUUUUCGGAUUGUAAACUUCUGUCCUUGGUGAAGAGAAGAAGACGGUAGCCAAGGAGGAAGCCCCGGCUAACUACGUGCCAGCAGCCGC